GUGCCAGCAGCCGCGGUAAUACGGAGGGUGCAAGCGUUAUCCGGAUUCACUGGGUUUAAAGGGUGCGUAGGAGGGCAGGGAAGUCCGUGGUGAAAUCCUAGAGCUUAACUCUAGAACUGCCGUGGAUACUCUCUGUCUUGAAUCCCGUGGAGAUGAGCGGAAUAUGUCAUGUAGCGGUGAAAUGCUUAGAUAUGACAUAGAACACCAAUUGCGAAGGCAGCUCGUUACACGAAGAUUGACUCUGAGGCACGAAAGCGUGGGGAUCAAACAGGAUUAGAUACCCUGGUAGUCC
rnacentral:rRNA from 1 species